rnacentral:rRNA from 1 species
UACGUAGGGGGCUAGCGUUGUCCGGAAUCAUUGGGCGUAAAGAGCGUGUAGGCGGCCCCUUAAGUCCUGCGUGAAAUCCUGCGGCUCAACCGCAGACGGUCGUGGGAAACUGGAGGGCUAGAGUGCGGGAGAGGAGAGUGGAAUUCCCGGUGUAGCGGUGAAAUGCGCAGAUAUCGGGAAGAACACCCGUGGCGAAGGCGGCUCUCUGGAACGCAACUGACGCUGAGACGCGAAAGCGUGGGGAGCAAACAGG